GCGGAGCCAGGGAGGGCGGCAGGAAGGUCAGGAGCAGGAAGUGAUUGCCUGGGUGAGGACCAACUCCGAGACACAGAGCUGAAAGUGCCCUCCAGUGCCUGGGAGGAAAUGAGGAAAUGUCCAGUCUCACACUCACUGCCAGUGUGAGAGUGAGAUCAGGAGAAAGAUUGGACUGAAGAUGUCUCUUACCGGUGAAGGUUAGGACGGCAGACACAACGCAGAGAAAGAAAUGAACUGAAACAUCUAUGCUUUGUUCUUUCCCCUGCUAAAUUCUCCAAACAGAAAUGUUGAAGAAAAUCCAGGCAUGGUGGUGCACACCUGUCAUUCCAGCACUCUGGGAAGGCUGAAGAGGGAGGAUCACAACUUUGAGCCUAGCCUGAGUAACUUAUCAACUUUGUGAGACUCUAUCUCCAGACAAAAAGAAUCAAACAAAGAGCUGAGGAUGUAGCUCAGAGCAAAGGCAUUGAGUUCAAUCUCCAGUACCGGGAAAAAAAAAAAAAAAAGAAAGAAAGAAAAAAGAAAAAUUAAAGGAAAAGUAAGGCAUUUGUUAAAAGAAAAAAAGAAAAAUUAAAGGAAAAGUAAGGCACUGUAUUUAUUAAAUUUACCUAACUCUGCCUCUUUUUUCAUACAUCAUCUCACUGAAGUG
ensembl:lncRNA